GCUACGGGAGGCAGCAGUGAGGAAUAUUGGUCAAUGGACGCAAGUCUGAACCAGCCAUGCCGCGUGCAGGAAGACGGCUCUAUGAGUUGUAAACUGCUUUUGUACGAGGGUAAACGCAGAUACGCGUAUCUUUCUGAACGUAUCUUACGAAUAAGGAUCGGCUCACUCCGUGCCAGCAGCCGCGGUAGUACGGAGGAUUCAAGCGUUAUCCGGAUUUAGUGGGUUUAAAGGGUGCGUAGGCGGUCGGAUAAGUUAGAGGUGAAAUCCCGAGGCUCAACUUCGGAAUUGCCUGUGAUACUGUUCGGCUAGAGAGUAGUUGCGGUAGGCGGAAUGUAUGGUGUAGCGGUGAAAUGCUUAGAGAUCAUACAGAACACCGAGUGCGAAGGCAGCUUACCAAGCUACUUCUGACGUUGAGGCACGAAAGCGUGGGGAGCAAACAGGAUUAGAUACCCCUGUAGUC
rnacentral:rRNA from 1 species